UGUACGACUACAGUCUAUGGUACGACUACGUCAAAAUAUUUUCACAUGUAACUUGAGGAUGGAUUUGACAACUUUAUGCGUUUUACCGCUAGGCUACAUCGUUUAACCAGAUUUUAUUUCCAAUCAGGUCGCAACAUCACUAUGGUCACGAUCUUCACCUGUGUCCCUCUGCCUGAGAAGCUACUUCAGAAGAACCUGACCAGAUACAGACGCGUCAAGGGGAAAGCCCAGAAAACGUCACGUCCGUUUCACACUGAGGGGGUACCAAACCACUAGACACAAUGCUGAAGGGCUGCUGUGUGCCCUUUGUCACUACAAAUAAACUGAGAAAUCAAAAUCUAAGGUUUCAUAUUUUACCCAACCGAAGCACAGAGCCAGAUAGGAGAGAUGGGAAGCUGGAGGACGAGCUUAGUCGCCAGUGGGAUAAAAUUCAAACACCUGUAGGUCUAUGUCAGCACUGCAGCACUGCAGGUUAACUACUGUUAUUUUCACCUUAUCUAAACAGUGUUAGAUUUUUCAAUGGGACCAUGUAGGUAGGGUUAUUAGUUAAAAGGCAAGUGAAAUACACAUUUUGCAAACUAAGCUUUCUUCACAACACAUUUUUCAACAGUUACCGAAUAUCCAAUCUAGCCUAAUGAGCAGUUGCAUGGGAUUAACUAAAACAUGCUAUUUUAUUCAGUGUUAAUGAUUUUCUGGUACAGUGUAACUGAUAUUUUAAGUGUAAUUGAUCAUAUCCAUAACAUGUGAUUUUGUCUUUUUUUUGGGUGAUUCAACCAGUUAGAAAAAGAUAUCUGGGAAUUCAGGGCGUUCAGCUGGAUCAUUGUCCAGAUUUUUAAACCGUAUUGGACAACAAUUCCAAUACAGUAUUUCUUUGUCAAUUGAGAGUAAUGUAUCAGUGUGUGACAUGACAGCUUGUAAACGCUAGAAUUAGAGUUUAAAAUCUGUGCGUUUGUAUUAUUACUGGCUGGGGGAAAGGAUUAUUUCCCCCGACAGGCAACCUGCCCUAACUCUGACCCGACGCCAACUUUGCCUAUUGUUGGGAUCUCUUUGCCAGAACAAGCCAGACAUACAGCCUGUCAUGAAAUCAUCCUAAAGGACAGACAAGCUCAGAAUUUGGAUUCAAUGGCAGCAUGACCGUGCUCAGCUAGCUAUGUGCCUAAGAAGGUAACGGCUGUUGUCCCCCUGAGCACCAUGCUUGAUAACAAAGCAGUGGAUGACAACAGUGUGAAGAAGAAACUGGAAGUGAUCCAGCACUGUAACAAAAGAAGUGGACUCAAUGGAUCAGGUGGUACGUGUGUAUGUGGAGAUCACAAAGAUGGCUGGUGCUUCACUGCUCAACACCCUUCAUACAUGGGUGGUGUGACCAAUGCACGGCAGCUAUUCAUGAAGGAUCCUGGCAAAGCUGGUCAUAUACACAUUAAGAGACGCAUGGAGGGUAGGCCCCAUCUCCAAAAGCAUAUCACAGAGUCAAUGGGAAAAUGUGGGCUAAAACAACUAAACAAAGUCACUACCCAGCCACAGGAGACAUCAGACAGGAGGGCAGUUCAAUAACAGUGAUAUUGUUUGUUAUGUGUGACAAAGUGACAAAUAAACAUAUUUCAAACAUUAA